rnacentral:rRNA from 1 species
CCACUAAACCCAGCUGCUCGUAGUUGGAUUACGAAGUGGUGUUUAAAUGUCAUUUUGGUUUGUUUGUCUUUCGGGGCAUUCAGGUCAACUUGGCUUUUACUCACUGUUGUCAUUGUCUUUGCCCAAGGUAUAUGCCUUGUGUGCAUGGCAUUGACCUUCUAUUUUAUAGUAAUGUUGUAUCUUUCGGGGUACAUUCAUUCCAUAUAGUUUACUUUGAAAAAAUUAGGGUGUUUAAAGCAGGCGAAAAGGCUUCGGAAUAUAUUAGCAUGGGAUAAUAGAAUACGAUCUAGGUCGUAAUUUGUUGGUUUCUACGGCUUAGGUAAUGAUUGACAGGGAUAGUUGGGGUCGCUCGUAUUGAGUUGUCAGAGGUGAAAUUCUAGGAUUAACUCAAGACGAACUAAUGCGAAAGCAUUCGGCAAGGAUGUUUUCAUUAAUCAAGAACGAAAGUUGGGGGAUCGAAGAUGAUCAGAUACCGUCGUAGUCUCAACUGUAAACUAUGUCGACCGAGGAUCCGGUAGCGUUACAUGGAUGACCUUCCGGGCACUCUGUGAGAAAUCAUAAGUAUUUGGAUUUCGGGGGGAGUAUGGUCGCAAGGCUGAAACUUAAAGGGAUUGACGGAAGGGCACCACCAGGAGUGGAAUCUGCGGCUUAAUUUGACCCAACACGGGAAAACUUACCAGGUCCGGACACAGUGAGGAUUGACAGAUUGAGAGCUCUUUCUUGAUUUUGUGGGUGGUGGUGCAUGGCCGUUUUUAGUUGGUGGAGUGAUUUGUCUGGUUAAUUCCGUUAACGAACGAGACCUUAACCUAUUAAAUAGCUGCGCGAACCCAGGUUCUUUAACCAUUCUCUCCUUCGGGGGGGCGUGGUAUCAUUAUUUUGCUUUUCACUUUCGGGUGGGAGGUAGGGUAGUGAUAGGGCCUGAGAUGAGUUGGUGAUUUGGCUUCUUAGAGGGACUACUUGCAUCCUUAGCAAGGGGAGGUUUGAGGCAAAAACAGGUCUGUGAUGCCCUUCGAUGUUCUGGGCUGCACGCGCGUUACACUGGCGCAUGCAAAGAGUUUAAAAUUCCUGUCCCGAUGGGGUUGGGAAAUCUUUUUAAAGUGCGUCGUGAUGGGGAUAGAGCAUUGAAAUUAUUGCUCUUGAACGAGGAAUUCCUAGUAAUUGCAGGUCAUCAACCUGCAAUGAUUACGUCCCUGCCCUUUGUACACACCGCCCGUCGCUCCUACCGAUGGUUGAACCGAUGAGGACUCGGGAUGAUCUUAUUAGAUCGGUCGGUCGAAAGAUCGAUAGACUAUUAGGUCAGAACUUGUUCAAAUCUUUUUAA